GAGGGAGAGUGAGUAAUGUCCUUGGAAGUCCAAUGGGGCUUCUCGGGUCGACAUUAACACACUGACAAAAUUAUAUUCAGAAUUAAAAAUAUUUUUAUACCACUUUUUAAUGUGUGAUUGUGUAAAGGUGAUCACCAGAUACCAACCUUUCGUGAACUUGCUUACACUCGUUCUCAUGGAGGGUCUCUGUGUGUGUGUGUGUGUGUUCGGUUCGGUCUCACCGGUGCAAUAUUUGGAGUCCGGGAGCAGGUUGAGAACAGCGCUGUCCUGUGACGAAGUCCUCAGUAAAAUAAUCCAAUGGCGUCAGGUUAUUUCCACGAGGAAGCAACUCAAAGUCACAGGUAAAUACAGCAGGUAAUAAGGAUCAGGCGAUCGAUCGCUAAAUCCUAAAGUGAGCACAUUGACGUCACAGGGAUUCCCGCAUCACGAGCGAACUCUCGCGAGAAGAAACAGAGCCCAC